rnacentral:rRNA from 1 species
GAUGAACGCUGGCGGCGUGCCUAAUACAUGCAAGUCGAGCGAACGGACGAGAAGCUUGCUUCUCUGAUGUUAGCGGCGGACGGGUGAGUAACACGUGGAUAACCUACCUAUAAGACUGGGAUAACUUCGGGAAACCGGAGCUAAUACCGGAUAAUAUUUUGAACCGCAUGGUUCAAAAGUGAAAGACGGUCUUGCUGUCACUUAUAGAUGGAUCCGCGCUGCAUUAGCUAGUUGGUAAGGUAACGGCUUACCAAGGCAACGAUGCAUAGCCGACCUGAGAGGGUGAUCGGCCACACUGGAACUGAGACACGGUCCAGACUCCUACGGGAGGCAGCAGUAGGGAAUCUUCCGCAAUGGGCGAAAGCCUGACGGAGCAACGCCGCGUGAGUGAUGAAGGUCUUCGGAUCGUAAAACUCUGUUAUUAGGGAAGAACAUAUGUGUAAGUAACUGUGCACAUCUUGACGGUACCUAAUCAGAAAGCCACGGCUAACUACGUGCCAGCAGCCGCGGUAAUACGUAGGUGGCAAGCGUUAUCCGGAAUUAUUGGGCGUAAAGCGCGCGUAGGCGGUUUUUUAAGUCUGAUGUGAAAGCCCACGGCUCAACCGUGGAGGGUCAUUGGAAACUGGAAAACUUGAGUGCAGAAGAGGAAAGUGGAAUUCCAUGUGUAGCGGUGAAAUGCGCAGAGAUAUGGAGGAACACCAGUGGCGAAGGCGACUUUCUGGUCUGUAACUGACGCUGAUGUGCGAAAGCGUGGGGAUCAAACAGGAUUAGAUACCCUGGUAGUCCACGCCGUAAACGAUGAGUGCUAAGUGUUAGGGGGUUUCCGCCCCUUAGUGCUGCAGCUAACGCAUUAAGCACUCCGCCUGGGGAGUACGACCGCAAGGUUGAAACUCAAAGGAAUUGACGGGGACCCGCACAAGCGGUGGAGCAUGUGGUUUAAUUCGAAGCAACGCGAAGAACCUUACCAAAUCUUGACAUCCUUUGACAACUCUAGAGAUAGAGCUUUCCCCUUCGGGGGACAAAGUGACAGGUGGUGCAUGGUUGUCGUCAGCUCGUGUCGUGAGAUGUUGGGUUAAGUCCCGCAACGAGCGCAACCCUUAAGCUUAGUUGCCAUCAUUAAGUUGGGCACUCUAAGUUGACUGCCGGUGACAAACCGGAGGAAGGUGGGGAUGACGUCAAAUCAUCAUGCCCCUUAUGAUUUGGGCUACACACGUGCUACAAUGGACAAUACAAAGGGCAGCGAAACCGCGAGGUCAAGCAAAUCCCAUAAAGUUGUUCUCAGUUCGGAUUGUAGUCUGCAACUCGGCUACAUGAAGCUGGAAUCGCUAGUAAUCGUAGAUCAGCAUGCUACGGUGAAUACGUUCCCGGGUCU